GGAUCGCAAGACCUUGCGCUCUUGGAGCUGCCGAUGUCUGAUUAGCUAGUUGGUGAGGUAAAGGCUUACCAAGGCGACGAUCAGUAGCUGGUCUGAGAGGACGACCAGCCACACUGGGACUGAGACACGGCCCAGACUCCUACGGGAGGCAGCAGUGGGGAAUUUUGGACAAUGGGCGCAAGCCUGAUCCAGCCAUUCCGCGUGAGUGAAGAAGGCCUUCGGGUUGUAAAGCUCUUUCGCAAGGGAAGAAAACUUACUUAAUAACACUAGGUGAAGCUGACGGUACCUUGAUAAGAAGCACCGGCUAACUACGUGCCAGCAGCCGCGGUAAUACGUAGGGUGCAAGCGUUAAUCGGAAUUACUGGGCGUAAAGCGUGCGCAGGCGGUUUUGUAAGUCAGAUGUGAAAUCCCCGGGCUUAACCUGGGAACUGCGUUUGAA
rnacentral:rRNA from 1 species